rnacentral:rRNA from 1 species
UACAGAGGGUGCAAGCGUUGUUCGGAAUUAUUGGGCGUAAAGCGCGUGUAGGCGGCUUUGCAAGUCGGGUGUGAAAGCCCUCAGCUCAACUGAGGAAGUGCGCCCGAAACUGCAGAGCUUGAGUGCCGGAGAGGGUGGCGGAAUUCCCCAAGUAGAGGUGAAAUUCGUAGAUAUGGGGAGGAACACCGGUGGCGAAGGCGGCCACCUGGACGGUAACUGACGCUGAGACGCAAAAGCGUGGGUAGCAAACAGG